UCAUUCGGUCAUACCAUGGUGGAAACACCAGAUCCCAUCUGAACUCUGUUAGUUAAGCAUCAUUGGGCUUGCCUAGUACUGAGGU
rnacentral:rRNA from 1 species